rnacentral:snoRNA from 1 species
AACAUCAAGUGAUGAGUUCAGAAACAAUAUCUUAGGACACCUUCUGACACAGAAAAAAACUGUGUAUGAGAAAGAAAUUUCAUUUUCUGAUGAUGUU